AGCUCCGAUGGCCUAGUGAUUAGAGCGUCCGCCUCGGAUGCGGGAGGUCGUGAGUUCGAUCCCCGACCGAGUCC